UAGCUGUCUUGGCUCGCCGGCGAUUCACGAGAGACCAAGAGUUAAAGUAAUUGAUCAAUAACGCGACCAUAUAGUUCUAACUUGUAAAAUGGAGGAAGCAAUUUUUUCCGGUACGGUUGUUUAUUCCGAUAAAGAAAUAAGUGAGGUCCGAGAUUUUAAAUUGCCAUCGGAAUUCAAAGAAGCUCAAGCAAAAUUUGUAUUAACUUCAGAACAGGAGAAUGACUUGCGAGAAGCAUUCAACCUUUUGGACUACACUGGUGAAGGGAAAAUCAAUGCUGAAGAUUUUAGAGUGGCUAUAAAAGCAUUAGGUUACGAACCUACUAAAGAAGAGCUCCAAAAGAUGAUAAACGCUGUAGACAAAGGGGAUACUGGCAAACUCAGCUUCGAGAACUUCGAAACCGCCAUUAUGAGGAAGGUCAUAGCGCAGGACAGCGAUGGCGAUAUUAUGAAAAGUUUUAGACUAUUCGAUAUGGAUGAUAGUGGUUUCAUAAAUUUCGAAAAUCUGAAACACGUGACCACUAUACUCGGCGUGCACCUCAGCGAUGAAGAGAUCGAGGAGAUGAUCGACGAUGCCGACAAAGACUUCGAUGGUUUAAUCUCCGUACAAGAAUUUAUGAAAAUGAUAAAAAAUUGCGUUAACAUCGUAACUCCAUAAAAAUAUAUUUGCGCAAAUUAUUUGAAUGAAGAGAAGAUGUUAGUUACGUCCGAUCCGUCGAAGUUGGUUAUAUUUUAAAGAAUGAAAUAUGGAUUCAUGGUCGGCGAUGCGACGUAAUCUUUUAUUAGAGAAAUUUCUACGGUCAAUGUGCAAUAAUGGUAGCUGAAUAAGUUCAGUACAGUGCUACAGAACUCAAAUCUGAGCUAUAAAUAUCGAUAAUUACUUAUGUCUUAUAAAUAUACUUAUAACACAAACUUUGUGACUUUCGAGCGUGUAGAUCUAGCUUUAUUGCAGAUUACACAUGCUAGAAAUAUUAACAGCUCAGUAUGUGAAACGUAUGAAGAAAGUCAACACUCAACUGUCAAAACAAACUUUUGAAAUUUUAUUGAAACGGUCGGUUUCAAACGAUUGGUUUGUGUUUUAUACUAGUUUUUCAAGAAUUGGAAAAAGUAUAUAGAUUAAUUCAAUAGAAUAAUAAAGGCAUUAUAAUCUAAAAUUAUGGGUAAG